CAAGUCGAACGAGAAUAAAGGGGUAACUUUUUAUUCUAGUGGCGGACGGGUGAGUAACGCGUAGGUAUCUGCCCUGAAGAGGGGGACAACCCGAGGAAACUCGGGCUAAUACCGCAUAAUCUCUACGGAGAAAAGCUGGGGACCGCAAGGCCUGGCGCUUUAGGAGGAGCCUGCGUCCGAUUAGCUAGUUGGUAGAGUAAAAGCCUACCAAGGCGACGAUCGGUAGCUGGUCUGAGAGGAUGAUCAGCCACACUGGGACUGAGACACGGCCCAGACUCCUACGGGAGGCAGCAGUGGGGAAUAUUGGACAAUGGGGGAAACCCUGAUCCAGCAAUACCGCGUGUGUGAAGAAGGCCUUAGGGUUGUAAAGCACUUUAGGUGGGGAGGAAAAUCUCAUGUUAAGUAGGUGUGAGAUGUGACGUUAUCCACAGAAUAAGCACCGGCUAACUCUGUGCCGGCAGCCGCGGUAAUACAGAGGGUGCAAGCGUUAAUCGGAAUUACUGGGCGUAAAGGGCGCGUAGGUGGUUUAGCAAGUUGUUUGUGAAAGCCCUGGGCUUAACCUAGGAAUUGCAAGCAAGACUGCUAGACUUGAGUACAGUAGAGGGAAGUGGAAUUUCCGGUGUAGCGGUGAAAUGCGUAGAUAUCGGAAGGAACAUCAGUGGCGAAGGCGGCUUCCUGGAUUGAUACUGACACUGAGGCGCGAAAGCGUGGGGAGCAAACAGGAUUAGAUACCCUGGUAGUCCACGCUGUAAACGAUGAGAACUAGAUGUUAGGCAGCUUAGACUGUUUAGUAUCGAAGCUAACGCGAUAAGUUCUCCGCCUGGGGAGUACGGCCGCA
rnacentral:rRNA from 1 species